rnacentral:rRNA from 1 species
AUACGGAGGGUGCAAGCGUUAAUCGGAAUUACUGGGCGUAAAGCGUACGUAGGCGGUUUAUUAAGGCAGAUGUGAAAGCACCGGGCUUAACCUGGGAACUGCAUUUGAAACUAGUAGACUAGAGUAUGGUAGAGGGGGGUAGAAUUCCGAGUGUAGCGGUGAAAUGCGUAGAUAUUAGGAGGAAUACCAGUGGCGAAGGCGGCCCCCUGGACCAAUACUGACGCUGAGGUACGAAAGCGUGGGGAGCGAACAGGAUUAGAAACCCGAGUAGUCC